rnacentral:SRP_RNA from 1 species
GCCAAGUGUGGUGGCACACCUGUAGUCUCAGCUACCUGGGAGGCUGAGGUGAGAGGAUUGCUUGAGCCCUGGAGUUCAAGACUGCAGUGAGCUAUUAUCACAUCUGUGAAUAGCCACUGCAUUCUAGCCUGGGUGAUAUAGUGAGACCUAGUCUCUC